AGACAGUGUUGAAAUUUGCCAUCUUAUAAUCAUUCCCAUGGCAACAAGCUGUGAGAAGAGAAACAUAGGGUUAAGAUUUCACUGCAGGAAUCAAGCAGAUGGAAAAAUCAGGCUGUGAGGGAGAAAACCUUUAUUUAAACAUAAAUAUCUUUAGGAAGAGAAUGAAGAAAUGAGAAACUGACUAAAAGCAACUUAGAAAGACAUGAGUUUGUCCUUUGCUAUGCUGCUCAUGAAUGCUCGGAUGCCAGCAAUGACGCAAGAAACAGAUUUCAUAUUAGUAAAAGAAAACAGUCUUGAAGCAGCUUUUAUGAAGGAUAAAGAGAAGCAAGUAACUUAGUUAUGUUAAACCUGUAUUUCUGCAUCACUGAACCAAACACAGAUGGAAACUUAACUGGAUCCAAAGAAGCAUUAUAAAUGAGAAACGCACUGUUGAUAUGACGGCCCUGGCCCCCAGACCACUCCUGGCAGUCAAAGGCCUCCACGCGCACUCCCACUUCGACACUGCAGAUGGGCGACAAGGGCAGUGGGCAGAGAACCUGAGCAUGCCAGGCCUACUCUGCCCACUGCCCCACCACCUCCUCCAGGGAAGGAAGAGAAUGAGGACCCUGGGUUGUUUCAUUGUCAUCUGCUAAUCUAUGCAACUGUUAACAUCCAUUUCAUCGGGUCGAUUGAUCUGAUGUACAAGCUCCUGGGAGCAUUUCUGCUUUACUUUCCCACUUUCAAGUGGUAAAAAGGCCAGUGGAACUCUAUAUAACUUCAUGAACAUAUUUUGGUAAUGGGGGAGGGGGUGGUUAAAUUGUGCCAAAGUCAAGUUUUCUCUCCUAAAAACAAUAGUCCUAUAAUUUAAA